UGGCGGCGUGCCUAACACAUGCAAGUCGAACGAGAAAGCGGGGGCAACUCCGCGAGUAAAGUGGCGACCGGGUGAGUAACACGUGACUAACCUACCCUCGAGCGGGGGAUAACCCCGGGAAACCGGGGCUAAUACCGCAUAACGUCUUCGAUGCGAAAGUAUUGAGGAUCAAAGGAGCAAUUCACUUGAGGAGGGGGUCGCGGCCGAUUAGCUAGUUGGCGGGGUAACGGCCCACCAAGGCUGAGAUCGGUAGCCGGCCUGAGAGGGCGCACGGCCACACUGGAACUGAAACACGGUCCAGACUCCUACGGGAGGCAGCAGUGGGGAAUUUUGCGCAAUGGGGGGAACCCUGACGCAGCAACGCCGCGUGGAGGAUGAAGUCCCUUGGGACGUAAACUCCUUUCGACCGGGAAGAUAAUGACGGUACCGGAAGAAGAAGCACCGGCUAACUCUGUGCCAGCAGCCGCGGUAAUACAGA
rnacentral:rRNA from 1 species